rnacentral:rRNA from 1 species
GUGCUAAUACCGCAUAAUCUCUGAGGAGAAAAGCAGGGGAUCGCAAGACCUUGCGCUUUUGGAGCGGCCGAUGUCUGAUUAGCUUGUUGGUGAGGUAAAAGCUUACCAAGGCUUCGAUCAGUAGCUGGUCUGAGAGGACGACCAGCCACACUGGGACUGAGACACGGCCCAGACUCCUACGGGAGGCAGCAGUGGGGAAUUUUGGACAAUGGGGGCAACCCUGAUCCAGCCAUGCCGCGUGAGUGAAGAAGGCCUUCGGGUUGUAAAGCUCUUUCAGCCGGAACGAAACGGUUACGGUUAAUAUCCGUGAUUACUGACGGUACCGGAAGAAGAAGCACCGGCUAACUACGUGCCAGCAGCCGCGGUAAUACGUAGGGUGCAAGCGUUAAUCGGAAUUACUGGGCGUAAAGCGUGCGCAGGUGGUUUUGUAAGUCAGAUGUGAAAUCCCCGGGCUUAACCUGGGAACUGCGUUUGAAACUACAAGGCUAGAGUGUGGCAGAGGGGGGUGGAAUUCCGCGCGUAGCAGUGAAAUGCGUAGAGAUGUGGAGGAACACCGAUGGCGAAGGCAGCCCCCUGGGUCAACACUGACGCUCAGGCACGAAAGCAUGGGGAGCAAACAGGAUUAGAUACCCUGGUAGUCCAUGCCCUAAACGAUGUCAACUAGUUGUCGGGCCUUAACGGGCUUGGUAACGCAGCUAACGCGUGAAGUUGACCGCCUGGGGAGUACGAUCGCAAGAUUAAAACUCAAAGGAAUUGACGGGGACCCGCACAAGCGGUGGAUUAUGUGGAUUAAUUCGAUGCAACGCGAAAAACCUUACCUACCCUUGACAUGUAU